CACGGAAAGGCCCCAUUAAUAGCACAGGCAGAGUAAAUCAGGAUGCUUCCAGAUGGCAAAGGGGGAAGGUUCUCAUGGGAAGACAGCCAUCCAGCCACACGCUCCAGAAAGCCGCCUGCUGUUGCGCAGUACAGGAAGCCACCGCACCGUGUGCGCUCCAGGCACGUCUCACCAACAACCCGUGCUUCUCCUGAGCUCCCAUCCUGCCCUAAGGAGCUUUAACCAACAGGUUUGUAUCGAUGUUUGAGCGCUCCUGGGCCAUGUUCUCCUGCCACAGCAGGCUUAGGAGUUGGGGGAUGCUCUGCUCCCUGCACACAACCUCCAAAGCUGCUUUGGUUUUAUUCCUUCUGCAUUAAGACUCUUGCGCCCAUCCUCUCCCUUCUCCUUCCCUGGACCAGCAUCUCCCAGCCCAAGCAGGACUGGAAGAAGAAGUGGAAAAAUGUAGGGUCACUGCUUCAGAGGGUUUGCAGGUGGGAUACAGCAGAAGCAGGGGGGGCUGCUUGAGUGCAUCCCAUUUAGAAACAGCACAGCAGAGAAGAGGAAACCACAGCAGCAUUUGCAGAAACGUUUCAUCCCUGUAAUCAGCAUGGGCAGAGAACAAGAAAAUCAACUCGGAAGUGUCCUCCAGGAAACCAACGUUGGCAAAAUGCAGCAGAACAACACUUAAUCUCAGCUGUACCGCUUCAUUCUUGUAUCCUAUUUCACAGUCUUUUUUUUAUUCUUGGUAAAAGAAUAAGAAUAAUAAUAGGAUAAGGUAGGCAUGGGAAAAUAUGAGCUAGCUGGGGGUUAUUUCUGUGAACAGCUGUAGAAACAGGUUUUAACACACAGUGAAAGCAGAUGAGAUCGUAACUUUUAAUAGGGACAUAUUUAAUAAACCAAAGGCAGAGAGGAGAUGAUCCAUUGCCUUUAUCGGGAAUUAUUCAUUCCGAUUUAUAUCAAGGAGGAAAUAGCACUUUCCUAGAAUCAAUGCAUCUUCACCA
ensembl:lncRNA